AGAGUUUGAUCCUGGCUCAGAUUGUUUUCUGGCGGCAGGCCUAACACAUGCAAGUCGAGCGGAUGAGUGGAGCUUGCUCCAUGAUUCAGCGGCGGAUUUUUGAGUAAUGCCUAGGAAUCUGCCUGGUAGUGGGGGACAACGUUUCGAAAGGAACGCUAAUACCGCAUACGUCCUACGGGAGAAAGCAGGGGACCUUCGGGCCUUGCGCUAUCAGAUGAGCCUAGGUCGGAUUAGCUAGUAGGUGAGGUAAAGGCUCACCUAGGCGACGAUCCGUAACUGGUCUGAGAGGAUGAUCAGUCACACUGGAACUGAGACACGGUCCACACUCCUACGGGAGGCAGCAGUGGGGAAUAUUGGACAAUGGGCGAAAGCCUGAUUCUUCCCUGCCGCGCGUGAGAAGAAGGUCUUCGGAUUUGUAAAGCACUUUAAGUUGAGGAGGAAGGGCAGUAAGUUAAUACCUUUGCUGUUUUGACGUUCCCAACAGAAUAAGCUCCGGCUAAUUUUCGUGCCAGCAGCCGCGGUAAUACGAAGGGUGCAAGCGUUAAUCGGAAUUACUGGGUGUAAAGCGCGCUACGCUGCUUCAGCAAGUUGGAGGUGAAAUCCCCGGGCUCAACCUGGGAACUGCCUCCAAAACUACUGAGCUAGAGUACGGUAGAGGGUAGUGGAAUUUCCUGUGUAGCGGUGAAAUGCGUAGAUAUAGAAAGGAACACCAGUGCCCAAGGCGACUACCUGGACUGAUACUGACACUGAGGUGCGAAAGCGUGGGGAGCAA
rnacentral:rRNA from 1 species